rnacentral:rRNA from 2 species
UAUUGGGCGUAAAGGGCUCGCAGGCGGUUUCUUAAGUCUGAUGUGAAAGCCCCCGGCUCAACCGGGGAGGGUCAUUGGAAACUGGGAAACUUGAGUGCAGAAGAGGAGAGUGGAAUUCCACGUGUAGCGGUGAAAUGCGUAGAGAUGUGGAGGAACACCAGUGGCGAAGGCGACUCUCUGGUCUGUAACUGACGCUGAGGAGCGAAAGCGUGGGGAGCGAACAGGAUUAGAUACCCUGGUAGUCCACGCCGUAAACGAUGAGUGCUAAGUGUUAGGGGGUUUCCGCCCCUUAGUGCUGCAGCUAACGCAUUAAGCACUCCGCCUGGGGAGUACGGUCGCAAGACUGAAACUCAAAGGAAUUGACGGGGGCCCGCACAAGCGGUGGAGCAUGUGGUUUAAUUCGAAGCAACGCGAAGAACCUUACCAGGUCGUGACAUCCUCUGACAACCCUAGAGAUAGGGCUUUCCCUUCGGGGACAGAGUGACAGGUGGUGCAUGGUUGUCGUCAGCUCGUGUCGUGAGAUGUUGGGUUAAGGCCCGCCACGAGCGCUACCCUUGAUCUUAGUUGCCAGCAUUCA